UAAAGGGCGAGUUAGCAGGGGAAGACUGUAAAUUACCGCAUAUGAUAAACACAAUUUAGUUUUUUACUGGACUACAAAAACUUUACUAUUUCUCGAUUGAGAAGAAAAAUUGAGGAAAAUGAAACUAGCUACACUUUUUAAUAAUGUACAGAAUUUAUCGUGUGUCAAAAAUCUGUGGGAGUGAGGGCAUUAUUUCGCCGCACUGGGAAAAAAAAAAAAAAACAUUGCUUGUUGUUUACUUUUUUCAAUUCAGCGUCGUAGAACGAAACAAUACUAUUGUCAUUAGCAACAAUACAGACUGCAAUACAUUGCUUAUUUGUAUAACGAUAAAAAAAGAGAAAUCAUUUUAUAUUGAAAUAAAACAGCAUGCUCAGACAGGCAGGCAGUUUAAUCUGAAUAAAAGGCUACUUUUGUAAAUCUGAGGGAACAGAAAGUAGGCGUAAUUUGAUUUUAUAUCUAUAUAUCACUAAUUGUGUUAAUCACAAACUCGAGCUAAAGUUAAAUGUAAACUAUCACGACAUCAAACAGCUCACGACGGAGUUUUCACGGUUUUUGAUUUCUCGUGAUCACAGGAUAUGUUCCAGUUUAAUAGUUAGUUCACUGUUGUGAGUUUAUUUUAAUUAGCGGCGGACGGUACGUUGUCCUUGACGGAACAAUAAGAACACCUGUCCGGGAAAUGCAAAACAUAAAGUGCUGACUUGAUCAUUAAUGUUUAAGAACCCCUCCAGUGGGCCAGGCUCCAGACUGAGCUUUCGAUCUGGCUGCAGGCUGCUGCUGAACCUGGUCAGGGAGCGGGACUCGUUUGUCUCCUCUCCAGAGAAGAUGAUAUCUCCCGUCACUGACCUGGCUAACAACUUCAGCAACCUUAGUGCAUUCCCAGGAGGAGCCAGGCUUCCAAACACAGGUCCAGGAAGGGGUUGUUCCGGUCUCCCUCAAUGCCUGAGAAGCUGAACCGGCUGAUGCUGAAGAAAGUGGGGCGGUCGCAGGAUGUGGAGACACCAUUGAAAGUCAAGCACCGGAAAAGCAUCAGCAGCCUCAUCCAGGAGGAGAGAGAGAGAGAGAGAGAGAGAGAGAGAGAGAGAGAGAGAGAGAGAGAGAGAGAGAGAG